UUAUAUAAAUUGUAAAAAGUACCCUCUUUGCGACUCUUAAUCAGUGGGUCGAAGGUUCGAUUCCUUCAGGGUGCACCA
rnacentral:tRNA from 1 species